UACGUAGGGUGCGAGCGUUUGUCCGGAAUUACUGGGCGUAAAGAGCUCGUAGGCGGUUUGUCGCGUCUGCCGUGAAAGUCCGGGGCUCAACUCCGGAUCUGCGGUGGGUACGGGCAGACUGGAGUGCGGUAGGGGAGAAUGGAAUUCCUGGUGUAGCGGUGGAAUGCGCAGAUAUCAGGAGGAACACCGGUGGCGAAGGCGGCUUCCUGGCCUGUUCUUGACGCUGAGGCGCGAAAGCUAGGGGAGCAAACGGG
rnacentral:rRNA from 1 species